CUCUUCCUCAACUCUCCGUCUUCUCCGUCAACUCUCUCUCUCUCUCUCUCUCGGUGCUCUUAAGACGUCGUUCCUCCAUCUUCGUUCUCCCCGGUGGUCACAUUGAGUUCGUUUUAUCUGGAAUACCCAGUUUCCAGUUUCUAGACUUCCACCCAGUUUACGCCUGCUCGUGGUCCAGAUCACUUUUUAUUUCAGGGUAUAUAAAUAUAGUGGAAUUGGGUCACGGGGAAUCACCAACAGCAUCAACAUGAUGACCAAGAUCAAGACCACUGUUCAUGGAUAGCAACGAUGGGAGUCCUCCUCACGGUGGAGAUCCUGCAAUGGAUGCAGGGGAUUGGAGGAACCAAUUGCAGGCGAUUCGUGGAAAAGAAUUGUCAAUAAGAUGUUACUAUGCUGAAAUUUAAGUGAAUUGUCAAUAAGUGCUCAAGUGAAUUAUUGAAUGAUAUUGUUCAUGUUGUUGAGAUCAUUGUACCUCUGCUAUGAUCUUGAAGUAUAUCACUUUAGAGUAGGUUUCACAUAGCGUUAUAUGGAGUAUAGAUCACAUCAGCAAUGGAAGUUGAUUGAUGCUCAAGUUGUCUUACUUGUCAUGUGGUGAAAUGAAGCUAGAUGAUACUGAUUUUGCCAAUUUUGAGCUUUGUUUCCAAAGUGGGAAACCAAUGUUAUUGGACUCGUGAUGA
rnacentral:lncRNA from 1 species